AUUGAACGCUGGCGGCAGGCCUAACACAUGCAAGUCGAGCGGAUGAAGCGAGCUUGCUCCUGGAUUCAGCGGCGGACGGGGGAGUAAUGCCUAGGAAUCUGCUUGCUAGUGGGGGAUAACGUCUGGAAACGGGCGCUAAUACUGCAUACUUGCUGAGGGAGAAAGUGGGUGGGCUUCGGACCGCACGCUAGCAGAGGAGCCUAGGCGGGGUUAGCUAGUUUGUGGGGUAAGGGCCUACCAAGGGGACGAUCCGUAACUGGUCUGAGAGGAUGAUCAGUCACAGUGGAACUGAGAGACGGUACAGGCACCUACGGGAGGCAGCAGUGGGGACUAUUGGAAACAGGGCGAAAGCAUGAUCCAGCCAUGCCGCGUGUGUGAAGCAGGGCUGCGGAUUGUAAAGCGGUUUAAGUUGGGAGGAAGGGCAGUAAGUUAAGACCUUGCUGUUUGGCGGUUACCGACAGAGUAGGACCGGGCUAACUCGGG
rnacentral:rRNA from 1 species